UUUAAUUGAAGAGUUUGAUCAUGGCUCAGAUUGAACGCUGGCGGCAGGCCUAACACAUGCAAGUCGAGCGGCAGCACAGAGGAACUUGUUCCUUGGGUGGCGAGCGGCGGACGGGUGAGUAAUGCCUGGGAAAUUGCCCGGUANAGGGGGGAUAACCAUUGGAAACGAUGGCUAAUACCGCAUAACCUCGCAAGAGCAAAGCAGGGGACCUU
rnacentral:rRNA from 1 species